rnacentral:rRNA from 1 species
AUUGAACGCUGGCGGCAGGCCUAACACAUGCAAGUCGAACGGUAACAGGAAGACGCUUGCUUCUUUGCUGACGAGUGGCGGACGGGUGAGUAAUGUCUGGGAAACUGCCUGAUGGAGGGGGAUAACUACUGGAAACGGUAGCUAAUACCGCAUAACGUCGCAAGACCAAAGAGGGGGACCUUCGGGCCUCUUGCCAUCGGAUGUGCCCAGAUGGGAUUAGCUAGUAGGUGGGGUAACGGCUCACCUAGGCGACGAUCCCUAGCUGGUCUGAGAGGAUGACCAGCCACACUGGAACUGAGACACGGUCCAGACUCCUACGGGAGGCAGCAGUGGGGAAUAUUGCACAAUGGGCGCAAGACUGAUGCAGCGAGGCCGCGUGUAUGAAGAAGGCCUUCGGGUUGUAAAGUACUUUCAGCGGGGAGGAAGGGAGUAAAGUUAAUACCUUUGCUCAUUGACGUUACCCGCAGAAGAAGCACCGGCUAACUCCGUG